UGGGGAAUAUUGCACAAUGGGCGAAAGCCUGACGCAGCCAUGCCGCGUGGAUGAUGAAGGUCUUAGGAUUGUAAAAUCCUUUCACCGGUGAAGAUAAUGACUGUAGCCGGAGAAGAAGCCCCGGCUAACUUCGUGCCAGCAGCCGCGGUAAUACGAAGGGGGCUAGCGUUGCUCGGAAUUACUGGGCGUAAAGGGAGCGUAGGCGGACAUUUAAGUCAGGGGUGUAAUCCCGGAGCUCAACUUCGGAACUGCCUUUGAUACUGGGUGUCUUGAGUGUGAGAGAGGUAUGUGGAACUCCGAGUGUAGAGGUGAAAUUCGUAGAUAUUCGGAAGAACACCAGUGGCGAAGGCGACAUACUGGCUCAUUACUGACGCUGAGGCUCGAAAGCGUGGGGAGCAAACAGGAUUAGAUACCCUGGUAGUCCACGCCGUAAACGAUGAUUGCUAGUUGUCGGGGAGCUUGCUCUUCGGUGACGCAGCUAACGCAUUAAGCAAUCCGCCUGGGGAGUACGGUCGCAAGAUUA
rnacentral:rRNA from 1 species